rfam:Canis lupus familiaris chromosome X, whole genome shotgun sequence.
CGGGGGAGGCCGGAUCCUGGGCCGUGUCCCGGCGCCCUGUGCUUCGGAGCCUGCGCUGGUGGAUUCGCGCUCCCGGGCCGCGCAGCCCCCU